GCUCCGCCUCUUCCUCCCUCCGUCCUCCUCCUCCUCCCCCGUUCCCCGGACCCGUCGCAGCCCGCGGGAGGAGCGGGAAUGGAGCCGGGCCAGGUCUCCACACAGUGCAGGUGGUUUCCAGCUGUGACCUCCUGUCCAGUGGAGCAUCCCUGGAUCCCACCGGUACGGCUCCGACGGGUGGGAUUUCAUCUCCUUCCAGCUGGGAUCCGGGAGCUUUGCGGUGUCCAUUGGUGCCACCUGGAUCACCCAGAGGUGCUGGGAAUCCAAAGGGAUCACGGUGGAGCAGAUGAAGCAUUACCUGGGACACAGCAGUGUGGAAGAGCUCCCAAAAUACAUCAGAUACGGUUGGAAGGCUGUGGAGCACAAAGGUGGGCGUGGGAAGGGUAGGAAUAUUUCUAUGGGAAUGUUGGAAUUCUGGAAUGGGGGACUUGGGAAUGCAGGAAUUCCCAUGGAAUUUCCAUGGCUGGAUCUCACUCUUAGUCCAGUCAGGUGAGAAUUCCUUGGAUGGAUCUCCCCUCCAACCCAUUGCCAUGGGAAUUCCAUGGGGAAAUGAUUUGAAUAAAUGACCAAUGCACAGACUGCAGUGAAAUGAGAAGGAAUCUCUGCUGGGAUUCCAUGGGACACAAAUCCCAAUCCUGUCCCCAGGCCGGCUCUGUUGUGCCCGUGGCAGUGCCAGGGGAGUGCCCUGUCCCUGCUCUGAGCCCAGCACGAGCCUUUCCUUGGGUGUUCUCUGCCCUGCCCAGGGCAGGAGGGCACUGCCGCAGUGACUUUGGUGGCCCCAGGCACCCGGCCGGGCUGCAGCCCCUGCAGGGCUCCUUGGGAAUGUCCAAGAGCAAAGCUUCAAGCAAACAACAGUUUCUGGAGGGGCUUCUCCCCCUUGUCCUGUGCUGGGAGCCCAAGGGCGACAGCGCGGGCACAACAGCUCAGAGUGCUGGAGCUCAGUGUCCCUGGGCCAGGCCGUGUUCCCUGGCUGUCCCCUGUCCCUUAGCUGUCCCCUGUCCCUUGGCUGUCCCCUGUCCCUCGGCUCUGUGGGACCAGGGAUGGCAGGAGCACCCGGGGCAGUCCUGGGGGAGAACAACCCUGAGCCCCAGCUGGGCCAGUUCCCCCAGUUCCACCCGGGGGAGGGGCCCAGGUCACUCCCAGCAUGGGCCCUGUGGCUCCCAGUCACCCCCAGUAUGAUCCCAGUCACUUUCAGUGACACUCAGUAUGAUCCCAGUACCAGCCCAGUCACUCCCACUAUGAUCCCACUGUGAUCCCAGCAUGGUCCCAGGUGUUCCCAUUCACUCCUACCAUGGUUCCAGCCACUCCCAGUACAGUUCCAGUCACCCCUAGUAUCAUCUCAGUCACUGCCACUUUGGCUCCAGUCCUUCCCAAUAUGAUUCCAGUAUGAACCCAGUCACUCUCACUAUGAUGCCAUUUGCCCCCAGCAUGGUCCCAGUUGCUCCCAGUCCCCAGUAUGGUUCCAGUCACUCCCAGUACUAUCCCAGUCACUCCCAGAUACUCCCAGUAUUCUUCCUUUAUGAUUCCUCUGUGAUCCCAGUCACCGCCAGUCUCUCCCAGUAUAUCCCAGUGUCCCCCAGUGUCCUUCCACUCACUCCCAGUUGCUCCCAGUAGCUUCCAACAGGAUUCCAGUUGCUCACAGUUAUUCCCAGGCAAUUCCAGCAUGAUUCCAGUCACUCCCUGUAUAUCCCAGUUGCCCCAAUAUGAUACCUGUUGCCAUCAGCAUGCUCCUAGUCACUUCCAGUAUGAUCCUGGAAUGACACCAGUCACCCUCAGUGUGGUCCCAGUUGCUCCUAGUAUGAUCCCAGUUGUCCCCAGCAUGGUCCCAUUUUGUCCCAGUGCAGUCCCAGUUGCCUCUAGCAGACCCAGUAAAUCCCAGUAUUAUCCUGUUCUGAUGCCAUGGUCAUCCCAGUCACUCCCAGCACAGUCCUAGUUGCUUCCAGUUUCUUCCAGUCUAAUCCCACUUGCUCUCAGUUGCCACUGCCAUAGACCAAAUCAUUCCAAGAAUGAUCCCAGUAUGAGUCUAGUGUGAUCCCAGUCUCCCCCAGCAUGGUCCCAGUCAAACCCAGUUGCUCCCAGUGUAGACCCCAUCACUGCCAGUUACUCUCAGUGUGUUCCCAGUCACCCCCAGUGUAGUUACAGACACUCCCAGUAUAUCCCAGUUGGCACCAGCAUAGUCAUAGUCAUGGCCAGUCACAGCCACUUGGCCCAAGAAGUCUCAGUUUCCACCAGUAUGAUCCCAGUCACUCCCAGCAUAUCCCAGUUGCUGCCACUAUGAUCCCUGUUGCCCCAGUUCUGGUCCUGCUGGGUACAAGUGUGCUCUGAUCCUGCUCCCAGUGGGUGCUAGUCCUGGGCCCGGUGUAUCCCAGUAUAUGCCAGUGUCCCAGUCGAUCCCAGCCUGUCCCAGUCUAUCCCAGCCUGUCCCAGUCUAUCCCUGUCCCUUCCUGGCAGCUGCCGCCAUUUCCCGGAUCCUGCCCCUCCCAUCCCCAGAGCUGCCGCCCCAAGAUGCUCCCGGGGCUUGGGAGCUUCAUGUUUGGCCUCAUCUGCUGGGCUGAGGCUUGACCUCCAACUGUGGGAGAAGGUGAGGGGGGGUCCCCAGGGGUCGUGUCCCCCCCUUGGAGCAUGUGUGACUCCCCCAUGUCCCCCCUUGCCGGGGUCACCCCCUUUUCUCCCACAGCACACUCCUGGAAAAGCUGGCAGCCCACGGCUUGGACAGGAGCACUCUGUGCUGGGUCAAGAACUGGCUGCAUGGCCAGGCCCAGUGAGUGGUGGGAAUGGUGCUGCAUCCAGCUGGCAGCCAGGCACCAGGGGUGUUCCUCAGGGCUCUGUGCUGGGGCCAGCUCUGUUCAAUAUUUUUAUUGGUGACAUGGAUGAGGGGAUUGAUUCUUUCAUUAGUAAAUUUGCAGAUGACACUAAGCUGGGAGCAUGUGUCGAUCUGUUGGAAGGGAGGAGGGCUCUGCAGAGAGAUCUGGAAGGGUUGGAUGGAUGGGCAGAGUCCAAUGGGAUGAAGUUUAAUAAGUCCAAGUGCCAGGUCCUGCAUUUUAGCCACAAGAACCCCCUGCAGCAGUCCAGGCUGGGGAUGGUGUGGCUGGACAGUGCCCAGGCAGAAAGGGACCUGGGGGCACUGGGGACAGCCAGCUGAACAUGAGCCAGCAGUGUGCCCUGGUGGCCGAGAAGACCAAGGGCAUCCUGGCCUGUGUCAGGAGCAGUGUGGCCAGCAGGAGCAGGGAGGUCGUUCUUCCCCUGUCCUGGGCACUGGUGAGGCCACACCUUGAGUGCUGUGUCCAGUUCUGGCCCCUCAGUUUAGGAAGGACGUUGAGACGCUUGAGCACAUCCAGAGGAGGCAGCGAGGCAGGUGAGGGGCUUGGAACACAAGGCCUGUGAGGAAUGGCUGAGGGAGCUGGGGUUGUUCAGCGUGGAGAAAAGGAGAUUCAGAGGUGACCUUAUCACUCUGUACAGCCUCCUGAAAGGUGGCUGUAGUCAGGUGGGGGUUGGUCUCUUUCUCCAGGCAGCAACUGUCAGAACGAGAGGAGACAGUCUCAGGGUGCAUCAAGGAAAUAUAGGUUGGAUAUUAGGAAAAGUAUUUUACAGAAAUGGUGAUAAAGUAUUGGAAUGAUCUUCCCAGGAAGGUGGUGGAGUCACCAUCCCUGGAUGUGUUUAAAGAAAGACUGCAUGUGGCACUCAGUGCCAUGGUUUAGUUGAGGUGUUAGGGUCUCAGGAGGGUUUUUCCAAGAUAUAUUGGUUAAGAGUCUUUUUUCCUUGAAUGCCCAUGCCAGAAGCAGUAGAAAGAGUUGGAGUUUGCCAGCCCAGGUUUCUCAAGGUUGUUUAUUGUCUCUUAUCUCUAAGUUCUUUCUGUGCCCACCAAAGAUCCUUGCUGUGGCAAGAGCACGAGGCAUCUCUCCCCCCAGGUUGGGCAUCCUGGACCUUUUGUACCUUUCUCUCACCCAGCUAUGAUAUGGAUGCUGACACUAGUCUGAAAUUUGGCAUCAAGCAGCCACUGUGUUUGUGUGAAAUCAUCACCUACUACCUUCACACAGGCCUGAGAAAGUGGCCUUGGAAAAAGAGGAAACCAAAGCAAACCCUGAGAAGUGAGAAAACAUCUGCAGGUGGUGUUUUUCCAAUGUGUUUUCUGACAAGGUUUUUGACAAAGAGUGUAGACUUUGAAUAACUAAUCAUGUUCUUGGUACUGAACUACUCUAUAAAAGUAGAAUUUGGAAGAAUAAAGUUUGCUCUCAUUUUACCAUUG